UGUCCGGAAUCAUUGGGUGUAAAGGGUGCGUAGGCGGGCUUGUAAGUCUGGGGUGAAAGGCAGUGGCUCAACCAUUGGAUUGCCUGGAUACUGCGAGUCUUGAGUCUCGGAGAGGUCGAUGGAAUUGGUGGUGUAGCGGUGAAAUGCAUAGAGAUCACCAAGAACACCCGGUGGGGAAGCCGGUCGGCUGGACGAGUACUGACGCUCAGGCACGAGAGCGUGGGGAGCGAACAGGAUUAGAUACCCUGGUAGUCCACGCUGUAAACGAUGCAUGCUAGGUGUUGGCCUUAUGGGGUCGGUACUGUAGUUAACGCGCUAAGCAUGCCACCUGGGGAGUACGUCGGCAACGAUGAAACUCAAAGGAAUUGACGGGGGCCCGCACAAGCGGUGGAGCAUGUGGCUUAAUUCGAUGCAACGCGAAGAACCUUACCCGGGCUAAAUUCAUGGUGGCCGAUCCAGAGAUGGGUCUUUCCGUUUACGGACGCUAUGGAAGGUGCUGCAUGGCUGUCGUCAGCUCGUGCCGUGAGGUGUUGGGUUAAGUCCCGCAGCGAGCGCAACCCCUAUGGUCAGUUACCAGCACGUUAAGGUGGGGACUCUGGCCAGACUGCCCGCGCAAGCGGUGAGGAAGGUGGGGACGACGUCAAGUCAUCAUGGCCCUUACGUCCGGGGCUGCACACGUGCUACAAUGGGACUGACAACGGGGAGCGACCCAGCGAUGGGCAGCGAAUCCUGAAACGGUCUCCCAGUUCGGAUUGCAGGCUGCAACUCGCCUGCAUGAAGGUGGAAUCGCUAGUAAUCGCGGAUCAGCUACGCCGCGGUGAAUACGUUCCCGGGCCUUGUACACACCGCCCGUCAAGCGAUGGAAGUCAGGAGUACCUGACCUGGCUGGGCUAACUUUC
rnacentral:rRNA from 1 species